GUGCUUAAUAAAAGAGGGAGGAAUGGAGCAAAGAGAAGCAAAUGGUGACACAGCUGUGUUCUGACUUCUUUUUCCAGAGUGAAAUCUUAAGAGACCCAAAGAAGUCUACACAGGUUGAGGUCAGACUACAGAAAAGGAUCUUUCUCUUCACUUCCUUCUGGGAGACAGCAAGAAUCCCCCCUGCAGGUGGAGGAGACAGAUAUCUAGAGAAUUCUCCAUUCUGGUCAAGAAAAUUUUAUGGUAAUGGUUUUGAUUUUUAAAGAGACUUAAAUGUUUCUCUUAAAAGGAAGACCUAGAAAAUUCUUCCACUAUUAUUAAUUCUCAGAAAAUAAUUUAAUUGAAACUAACCACAGCUAAUUAAAAUGAUAAUUUCUCAUUUUGCUUUGUGGUCCCA
rnacentral:lncRNA from 1 species